GACGAACGCUGGCGGCGUGCCUAAUACAUGCAAGUCGAACGCAGUGGGGACGGGUGAGUAACACGUGGGUAACCUCCCAUCAGAGGGGAUAACACUUGGAAACAGGUGCUAAACCGAUACGGAUGGAGGGACCCGGGGUGCAUUAGCUAGUGGGUGAGGUAACGGCUCACCAAGGCCACGAGGCAUAGCCGACCUGAGAGGGGGAUCGGCCACACUGGGACUGAGACACGGCCCAGACUCCUACGGGAGGCAGCAGUAGGGAAUCUUCGGCAAUGGACGAAAGUCUGACCGAGCAACGCCGCGUGAGUGAAGAAGGUUUUCGGAUCGUAAAACUCUGUUGUUAGAGAAGCGGUAUCUAACCAGAAAGCCACGGCUAACUACGUGCCAGCAGCCGCGGUAAUUC
rnacentral:rRNA from 1 species